rnacentral:rRNA from 1 species
GGAGCUGUCGCAGCUGUGUGUCGGGAUCAAACUGGCCUAUAUCUAGGAUCUUCGGCGGUGGUUCUACGGGAAAUCAAUGAUCCUCUGAUCUUGGAAACAUGCACAUGCAGAGAAGCAUUGUCAUUAGCAGAGGAUCUGGCGAUCAGAGAGGUUUGGGUGGCUUCAGAUUGCCAGGAGGCAAUCAAUGACAUCAACAGAGGGAUAGGAGGUCCAAAUGCUUCUAUAGUACAUGAAAUAACGAUCCGGUGUAAUAGUUUUAUUUCUAGUUCUUUCAUACACGAGCGUAGGAAUUUUAAUGUUGAGGCUCAUAAUCUCGCCAAGUUUGCAUGUAAUCUUGAGGUAGGUAGACAUCUUUGGUUGGGUAAUCCUCAUGACCCAAACCUUGUACCUAUGAUGAUUGCUUUGGAUGAAUAA